GUGCUCGCUUUGGCAGCACAUAUACUAAAAUUUGAACAAUACAGAGAAGAUUAGCACGGUCCCUGCGCAAGGAUGACAACACGCAAAUUCGUGAAGCGUUCCUAGAGGAG